UCGCUGUGUCUGCAAUCCUCUGCAAUCAAAGGAAAUUGCUUCUGACCGCGGACCGGCCGGUUCCGGUUCGGACCGGUUCCGAAUCUUUCGGGAGUAAUCACCCUCAUUCUCGUGUGGGCGAAAAAGAAGGAUUUCAUGGAUUACUGGAUGUAACAUCCCGGAGAGUCAUCGGGCAGAGUUUUCAGGAAGCUGCAAUUCGUCUCAGCUUCCAACGGGCUGAAAACCAUGGAAUGGUCUCCGAUGGAGGUAGCAUCACUGAAAACACUGCUCUGGAGCCGAAUUACGGGUUUUCUUGGCAUAAGGAAGCGGAAAACAAAUUUCUGCUACGGAACGGCUUCAUCGGACGGUAUAUACUAUAGUGAACCGCAGGAGGACGAAAGCACGAAAGUUAAACCACCAUGGAUCUGACGACGAGAGCUACUCUACACACCUUUCUGCGCUAGGAAAGAUGUCACCAACAGUAGUGACCAACGACAAGCCGGGAGUGUUAAUGUAUCGUAGAAAGGCUACGGAAGAUCUGUGAUUGCACUGAGAAGCUGAACCGUUUCCAGACUCCGCUGUGCAUCUACUAAGUAGAAAACAUGAAAGACCGGUUGACGUCGGUGGCUCUCGACGAGAAUAUCUGCCAUCAAGUAUGAAAAAAUCGAUCAGAGCAUCUAGAUCCAGACAGAAAGCCAUACUCUGGACUGCGGGAGAAGAUGUCAUGGAAUUUGAUUUGCAGAGAAAACAGGGUAUCGCGCCACUUGGGCGGUGGUUCUAUAUUCGUCUGUUUGCCUCUAUAACUCAGUCAAUUUUGAACCAAUUGACUUGAAAUGUUGUACUCGGGUAGAUACUAUACAUAUCU